rnacentral:rRNA from 1 species
UGCAGUCGAACGAGAAAGUACCCUUCGGGGUGCGAGUACAGUGGCGAACGGGUGCGUAACACGUGGGUAAUCUGCCUCGAAGUCUGGGAUAACCUUCCUAACGGGGGGCUAAUACCGGAUGUUUUCUUUGCCUGGCAUCUGGCAAUGAACAAAGAUGGCGCGCUGAGCGCUGUUGCUUUGAGAUGAGCCCGCGGCCUAUUAGCUAGUUGGUGGGGUAACGGCCUACCAAGGCGGCGAUGGGUAGCCGGCCUGAGAGGGUGACCGGCCACAUUGGGACUGAGAUACGGCCCAGACUCCUACGGGAGGCAGCAGUAGGGAAUUUUGCGCAAUGGGCGAAAGCCUGACGCAGCAACGCCGCGUGAGUGAUUGAAGGCCUUCGGGUCGUAAAGCUCUGUCAGGUGGGAAGAAACCAGGUUGGCUGAUAAGGCCUUCCUGUUGACGGUACCACCAGAGGAAGCUCCGGCUAACUCCGUGCCAGCAGCCGCGGUAAUACGGAGGGAGCGAGCGUUGUUCGGAUUUACUGGGCGUAAAGAGCGCGUAGGCGGCCAGGCAAGUCAGAUGUGAAAACCACCGGCUCAACCGGUUGGACUGCAUUUGAAACUGCCUGGCUUGAGUUCAGGAGAGGAGAGCGGAAUUCCCAGUGUAGCGGUGGAAUGCGUAGAUAUUGGGAAGAACACCGGUGGCGAAGGCGGCUCUCUGGACUGACACUGACGCUGAGGCGCGAANGCUAGGGGAGCAAACAGGAUUAGAUACCCUGGUAGUCCUAGCCGUAAACGAUGGGUACUAGGUGUUGGGGG